AGACAAGAUCUCACUGUGUUGCCCAGGCUGGUCUUGAACUCCUGGGCUGAAGCAAUCCUUCUACCUUGGCCUCCUAAAGUGUUAGGAUUGCUUGUGUAGGCCACCAUGCCCUGCCACAUUCUUGUUUUCAUAAUUAAUCUGAAAUUUGUUUUAUCCUUAAGAGUUGUUUUUAGGUAAUUUUAACUGUAGAAAUUCAGCAUGGUUUAUCAAAAUAUUUUUUGUAAAAUGGAACUUUAUUCUACAAUGUAUCGAAAAUUGCAAGACACAAGUACCAUUGAAACAGGUAAAGGUUUAUUAUAUAGAAUGGUGAAACAUAAAGAAAAUAAUUUUAUUCUUUUUAAGGAGCCUUCAUUAAGAAAACCCAAUUUAAAGAUAUUUCUGUUUCCAAAUAAUUUAUGUAUAUUUGUUGCAGCAUAAUUCUCCAAACAUACCUAAUGUAAAAUACAAAACUAUUUGAAACCGAAUUCAAAUAUAAAAUAUAUAUGUAUAUGAGCUAUAAAUGACUGUGCUAAAGAUGCAGAAACCUGAAGACUCAUCAGUGCGUCCUCAAAUCAGGCAGGUUGGUCAGCCACCAACAAGCCUCACCUUUUCAAGUCCUUGCCCACCAAUUAAGGGAAAAUGUCUAUAAUGAACCAUAGACUAACAAAGAUUUUAUAAAAUGACUUUCAAAGGAUUUUUUCCCGAAAUGCCCUAUGUGAUCUGGCAACUGCCUCCUUGUCCUCUUUUUUCUCUACCUCCAAAAUAAAUCAGGUUCUGUGACGUUUGAUGCUAAACCAUAAUUCGGCUUUGGGCAUUUUAAUUAAGAUAUUUUUGUGAAAUUCACUUAUCUGUGGCAUCUUUUUUCUUCUUUUUCUAAAUUCAUAUUCUAAACAUUUCAGGAACUAAAACUUCAAUACUACAUCAACCGUAUUAUUAUGGUAGCUUUCUUCCUUUAAGUGGACAUUUAAAGUUCUCUUCAAAGCAAUGAAAAAGAAUGGCAAAUAAUCUCCACAAGAAUGAGUUAUAUGAAUAUGUUUUGAGAUUUUGAUACCUCUGUUCUUGAAAUAUCUACUAGCAACUCAUUAGGUCAGAGUCUUAGAGCUUAGACAUAGUGAAGCUCAGAAUGCAAUAAAGGGGACAAAAGUCCUGUAGACUAGGCAUUAAAAAACCUUUUUAACCUUUAAGACAGAGUCUUGCUCUGUUGCCCAGGCUGGAGUGCAGUGGCAUGAUCCUGGCUCACUGCAACUUCCACCUCCUGGGUUCAAGCAAUUCUCCUGCCUCAGCCUCUCAUAAAAAACAUUCUUGUUAGCCAGUUAUGUGAACGGGAUAAAUCCACUGGGCAUAUGAUACAUUUUUUCACAUUACUGCUGUCAUCAUUCCUUAGUUGCUUUUUUCUUUAGGAUCCUGGAGUUGUCUGAAAAGAUUGACAUUAUUCGACUAUUUCUCUGGCAUUUCAAUGAGAAUAGACUAUUAACAAAGGAAAGUGAACUCAAAAAUAGUAAAUUAGACCCCUUAACUUGCUCGUAUCAGCAGAAAAAUAGAUUAACAAUUUUUUUUCAGAUUCUUUCCCUACACUGAUAGUUUUCCAGCUACUUAUAAGAUCUCAUCUUGAUAUCAACAGUGUUAGAUAUUAACAAAAUACAAUAGCAUUAAGAAGACGUAUUUCAUCAUUCUACUUUAUUGAGAACCUAAAUAACCAGUUGAGAGUUAUGUAGGGAAAGCAAGAUUAGAACCCACGUUUUCUGUCUGCUGAUACUGUGCUUUGUCAUUCUGUGACACUACACUGCUUCUAAUAAAAGGCCUUCUAUUUCUUAAUUUUUAAGAGUAAAAAUAUAUCUUAAGCAAAAACAAUAUGUUGAAAACAAAUCUCUGUGGGUUUUUUUUUCUUUUUCUAGAAGUUACACAUAUUUCUUAGUAGGAAUACAUUUCCAUCUUUCUGUUUGGAGUGAGUCACAUUUUAAUGUUUUGUUUCAGAAUUUGCAUCUGAAGGGUUAAUAAAGAUACAGUAUGGCAUAAAGGCUAAACAUAGCUCUUAAUGCUGCUGGCGAUCAUCCCCUGGAAUAUACUAGUGCUGAGAUUUAUGGAGCCCCUUAGGCUCCCACAGACCCUCAGCUUCAGGGAAAGGAAGGCUCACUCCAGAGAACAAUGUGCAUAUAUUCAUUCUGCUGCCCUGCGGCACAGCCCAGCCUGCUAACCUGGUCACCUUCUGCCUCACUCUUCAGUCUUAGCUUUUGCGUUGAUGUACACGUAAAUCACUUGGGACACAGAGUGAAAUCACAGUAUUUAAUCAGCAUACUCACUGGUCAAUUUUACUUGCCUCCUUGCAAAGAAGCAAGUCUUAUUUCAGAGCUCUAAGCUGUUAAUUAUUGUAAGCAAUCCAUCAAAUACAUAGGUUUCUGAAAUAUGUUGGACUAUGAUUUAAUUAUUUUCCUCAAUUAUUAUUUUCUGCUAUUUCAAUUUUUGAAAGCCAUACAAUUAAUCAGUUAUAAUUGGGUAUGGGCGCCUCUCCACCAAUCCAUGACCCCCAGCGCCUGCAUCAGAUGUUGAAAUAACACGAUAAAUGUGUUUGGAUGAAAAAAUACUGUGGUGACAUGUUUGGAUGAAUCAAGUUCACAUAAAUGGUACAAUAGAUGGGAUGAGCAUGCAAGCUAACAUAGCUUUAUAUUGCUUAUGUUUACAGAUUUGUGCAAGUCUUAGAAGCCUAGAUACACUUACUAUGCACCAUAUUUAAGAAUUGUUGAUUGAAGAGGUGGACAAUAAAACAAUCAAGCCAUAUUUCCUGCAUGCAAAGGACCAGUAAUUAAGGAUGAAGGGGCAUGCUCUCUUCCUCCCCUGCUUUCCCCUAUUGUUACCAAACAUUAAAUAUUCAAAAGCAUUUGACUAAAAAUGUCACUACACAUUUAUAAUAUUCCAUUAAAGCUGAUAUAAAAAAUAUUAAUAGACAUUUGUUAUGGUAUUAUAGCAUAAAAAGGCUGUAGCGGCCGGGCGCGGUGGCUCACGCCUGUAAUCCC
rnacentral:lncRNA from 10 species